rnacentral:rRNA from 1 species
CCAAUAGCGUAUAUUAAAGUUGUUGCAGUUAAAAAGCUCGUAGUUGAAUUUCGGGGUCAGUAGGUUGGUCAUGCCACUGGUAUGUACUGGCCUCACUGAUUCCUCCUUCCUGAUGAGCCGUAAUGCCAUUAAUUUGGUGUUGCGAGGAAUCUGGACUGUUACUUUGAAAAAAUUAGAGCGUUUAAAGCAGGCUAACGCUUGAAUACAUUAGCAUGGAAUAAUGAAAUAGGACGUUCGAUCUUAUUUUGUUGGUUUCUAAGAUUGACGUAAUGAUUAAGAGGGAGAGUUGGGGGCAUUAGUAUUCAAUUGUCAGAGGUGAAAUUCUUGGAUUUAUUGAAGACUAACUACUGCGAAAGCAUUUGCCAAGGAUGUUUUCAUUAAUCAAGAACGAAAGUUAGGGGAUCGAAGACGAUCAGAUACCGUCGUAGUCUUAACCAUAAACUAUGCCGACUAGGGAUCGGAUGAUGUUAAUUUUUUAAUGACUCAUUCGGCGCCUUACG